rnacentral:rRNA from 1 species
UUACCGAGUUUACAACUCCCAAACCCCUGUGAACAUACCUUAAUGUUGCCUCGGCGGAUCAGCCCGCGCCCCGUAAAACGGGACGGCCCGCCAGAGGACCCAAACUCUAAUGUUUCUUAUUGUAACUUCUGAGUAAAACAAACAAAUAAAUCAAAACUUUCAACAACGGAUCUCUUGGUUCUGGCAUCGAUGAAGAACGCAGCAAAAUGCGAUAAGUAAUGUGAAUUGCAGAAUUCAGUGAAUCAUCGAAUCUUUGAACGCACAUUGCGCCCGCUGGUAUUCCGGCGGGCAUGCCUGUUCGAGCGUCAUUUCAACCCUCAAGCCCCCGGGUUUGGUGUUGGGGAUCGGCUCUGCCCUUCUGGGCGGUGCCGCCCCCGAAAUACAUUGGCGGUCUCGCUGCAGCCUCCAUUGCGUAGUAGCUAACACCUCGCAACUGGAACGCGGCGCGGCCAUGCCGUAAAACCCCAACUUCUGAAUGUUGACCUCGGAUCAGGUAGGAAUACCCGCUG